rnacentral:rRNA from 1 species
AUUGACCGCUGGCGGCAGGCCUAACACACGCAAGUCGAACGAGUGGCGGACGGGUGAGUAAUGUCUGGGAAACUGCCUGAUGGAGGGGGAUAACUACUGGAAACGGUAGCUAAUCCCGCAUACCAUCAGAUGUGCCCAGAUGGGAUUAGCUAGUUGGUGGGGUAACGGCUCACCAGGGCGACGAUCCCUCGCUGGUCUGAGAGGAUGACCAGCCACACGGGAACGGAGACACGGUUCAGACUCCUACGGGAGGCAGCAGGGGGGAAUAUUGCACAAUGGGCGCAAGCCUGAUUCAGCCAUGCCGCGUGUAUGAAGAAGGCCGUCGGGUUGUAAAGUACUUUCAGCGAGGAGGCGUUACCCGCAGAAGAAGCACCGGCUAACUCCGUGCCAGCAGCCGCGGUAAUAC